AUGAGAGAGAAUUUUUUUGGAAAUUUUUCUGAUUUUUUUAAACAUGAGAAUUUCUGUAUAAUGUAUUCAUAUAGAAAUAAAGUAGUCUUGGGACUCCUGGGUGGCUUGGCGGUUAAGCAUCUGCCUUCGGCCCAGGGCAUGAUCCUGGAGUCCCGGGAUCAAGUCCCACAUCAGGCUCCCUGCAUGGAGUCUGCUUCUUCCUCUGCCUAUGUCUCUGCCUCUCCCUCUCUCUCUCUGUCUCUCAUGAAUAAAUAAAAUUUUUAAAAAAGAAAGAAAGAAAGAAAGAAAGAAAGAGAGAGAGAGAGAGAGAGAGAGAAAGAAAGAAAGAAAGAAAAGAAAAGAAAGAAAAGAAAAGAAAAGAAAAGAAAAGAAAAGAAAAGAAAAAAGAAAAGAAAAGAAAAGAAAAGAAAAGAAAAGAAAAGAAAAGAAAAGAAAAGAAAAGAAAAGAAAAGAAAAGAAAAGAAAAGAAAAGAAAAGAAGGAAAGAAAGUAGUCUAUAUGUUUCUUAACCAUGGAUUGAUUGGACCUUCCUCCUAAACCACAAUUGAGCUCUCCAAAUGAUAAAUCAAAACUAAUCAAAUGAAAAAACAUGUAUGAAACUACUUGAAAAUUAAAAAGCAUGUAAGAUGUUAUUAUUAUUCAGCUGCAUUAAACUAAACCAUCUGAAGAUUAAAUAUCUGUCAUCCAGGAUUUUGUUUUCAUAGUUCCAAGUUGACCAGUGGCUUACUACAUUGCCUUGCUUAGAAUCUAUACAUAGUCAACUGUAGGAAGAAAAGCAAACCUAAAAUAUUUUUCUCUGAGUCUUAGAAGCAAAUCCUUAAGGAUACUUCCAAAGAAGUAAUCAAAUUACCUUAAAAUAUUAUUAUAGCAGGUAACGUGUGCUCUAUUUCAUUUUCAGUUCUGGCCUGAUUUUGGCUUUUUAUUUUGCUUUUCACCUGAUAUAUGCUGGAAAUAUGUUUUCCAUUGUUCUCAUUUUCUAGAAACUACAUAUAUUGACUUAGAUCUCUGGUUUUGCUUAUUGAAUUUUCUUAUGGGAAAUGGAAAUUUAGCUUCACCUUUUGUAACAACAUAAAAGAACAGCAAGAAUCCAAGAAGAAAGCUUGGCCUCUCCCAUUAUACAUGUUAAACACAAACUUUCACAGGCCCGGCCAGACGAAGACAGGCCAACACAUGUCCUAUCUCUGUGAAGGCAGGUCAGGACGCCAGCUGGCCCAGCAGGAUGAGACCUGCAACAAUACUCAGUAACAAAAGAUGGUGAUCUGUCUUUCUUGUGGCCUACGAGACUAGAGUUAUGUCUAGUAAGGAAAUGCAUUUUCAUUUUUUACUUUAUUUAACCAUGUCUAUACCUGCCAUGAACUAAACAUUUGGGUCCUACAGACAUAAUAAACAUCGCAAAAGUCUGAAAUUCCUACUGAUG
rnacentral:lncRNA from 12 species